UCUAUUUUUAUUAACACCAGUACUAUUGCUACCUUGCAUCCCCAAAGUAUGCAUACCAUUUUGAUAUUCUUGGGUGGCUUAAAACAUUCUUUUCCUACACCUCAAGAAGUCAGCAGUGUUCCUGUUGGAGAAACACGUCUCAUCUAAUAAAUAAAACAUAACAUAUAUAAAAUCUCUUUAGGGAACCAUUUCCAGAAAAAGAAUCAUUUUCCAUGAAAAGUAUGAUAGAUAAUGUACUUAAUGGCACUGCCAAACAUAUGUGAUAAAAUUGUACAACCAAGAAAAUUACAUUAAAUACCAUUAACCAAGAUUCACAAUUUGCUAUAUGAUCAAUGCUCAUCAAAGCUAUUUUUCCUUGGCUGAAAAAUCAUUUCUAUCAUUUAUAACCAUUUAAAAUUUCAGCUGGUGUGUACUUUGUCUUGUAUUCUAAAUCUAAAGAGAAAAGUCCGAUUUUAACCCCCUUUUAGUUCAAUUGUCAAUAUAAUUGCUCUGGACAUUAACUAUACAAUUACAUGUUCAUCCUUUAACUUUCAUUGCUUGAUGAAUUCCUUUGGGAAGAAUAUAUUAAGAGACAAACUUUCCAGAUUGAUAUAAUCCACUCACAGAAAGUCCACUUAGUAAUACAGAGGACUUGGGAAGUGUUUUGAUAUUUUUUCCUUUCUCUAUCAAUCAGGAUCCAAUCAGGGGAUAGAAAUCACAAAGCAAUUUGAAAAGGGAAUGUUUAAUAUAAAGAAUUGUUAACUAUAACAGAGUAUUUUCUCUAAAGGAGUAAAGAGUGCUCUAAGGAACACCUACACUGGGACUGAGGGAGAGUACCCAAGGGAGAGAUAAAUCUCAAGGCUUGGAUUUGGACCUCAUUGGAGAAGGUAUGAUUGCAGACCUGUGAUGGCAGAAAAGGUGAAUGGGAUAACUCACUUUAGAGCAUGUCCACAGUUGUUGAGCAAGCAGGAAAAACCCCUUCAGGAUGCAGGAGAAGAAAACCAUUGCAAGUACUGACAAACAGGAAAGGUGCUUUUAGAUUUCGGGCAAUAUGAAGCUGGGAAUCAACCACUGGCACACUUAGAAGCUUCACUGGAAAUUCACUUGAAAUUACCACAGUUUCAGACUACAAAACACACUACCAGAUCUCAGUGGGAAGCAGUCUAAGGGGCUGCUACUGAUACUUGAGGGCGAUGUAGGUGGCCAUCUUCUCCCUGUGUCCUCACAGGACAGAGGCAGCAGAGAGCUCCCCGGGGCUGCUUUUAUAUGGACACUAACCACAUUUGUGAGGCUGCCACCCUCAUGACCUAAUCAUCUCCUAAAGGCCCCAUCUCCAAAUAACAUCACACUGAGGAUUAGAUACGAAUUUUGAGGGGAUGCAAACAUCCAGUGUAUAGUAUUGUGCCCCAGCCCCUGAAAAUUCAUGUCUUCCUUGCAUGCAAAAUACAUUCAUUCCAUCCUAAUAGCUCCAGAAGUAUUAACUCAUUCCAGCAUUAAAGUCUAAGUCCAAAGUCUCACUUAAAUAUCAUCAAAGGCAGAUAUGGCUGAGACUCCAGGGAUGAUUCAUCCUGAAACAAAAUCCUCUCCAGCUGUGAACUUGUGAGAUUAAACAUGUCACAUGCUUCCAAAAUGUAAUGGUAGCAUAAGUAUAAGAUAGACAUUCUCUUUCCAAACGGGAGAAAUAGGAAAGCAGAAAGGAGGAAUAGGUCCUGAGGACGUCUAAAACUCAGCAGGGCAAAUGCUAUUAGACCUUAAGGCUUGAGAAUAAUCCUCUUUAGCUCGAUGCGUGGUCCUGCUCCUGCUGCUUUGCUGGACAGCAACACAGGGGCUUAGGUGUCCUUUUAAGUUUAGGCGGAGGCAGCCACACACCCACAGCUUGUGCGCUCUGCACGCUGGCAGAGGUGGACUGUGUGGACACCGCCAGUGUUUCCUGCCUGUGUCCCUCACAGGGUGGGUCCCGUGGCCUGCGUUGUGCUGGGGCCCGCUGAAGCUGUACCCAGGGCAGCUGAAGAUCGCAGGCACCAGAGCGUGGAGACGGGAACCCUCUAGGCCAGGUGUGCCAGACAGUGAGCUGAAGUCCCACGGGCGUUGGCGGCACCUUUGCUAACAAUGUCACGUGUUAAUCAACUAUACCCCGAUACAAAAAAAAAUUAAAAACAACAAAAACAAUUUCAUGUGGCUCGAUCUAAACUACAAUUGAUAGAUGGAUUUCAAAAGAUCUCAAAUACAAGGUAAAUAUAUCACAACAAAAACAAAGAAACACCACCACAAAACACUGUGUUUUUAGAUCUAGUAAAAAAACAAAUUAGAAAAAUAAAAUUAAAAUCUCUACAAUGAAAUGGUGGUAUAAUAUUACAUGCCUAGGAAUAAAUACAAAGACUUUAAGGCCUCUAUGUUUAUAAACUAAACAUAACCCUAAAAUAAUUAAGUAAAAUCUCAGUGAAUGGUUCCAAUAUGCCAUGGUCAUUAUAACAAAGACUCAAUGUUAUAAAGACGUCAAUUUUCCCCAACUGAUCAUUACUGUAAAUGAAAAACUAAUUAUAUUCUAACAUUUUUUGGUUGGUAAAAUCACUUUUAAAUUUUACAUAGAAAUGCAAAGGUCCAGGAACAGCUAGGACACUCUUGAGGAAAAAUAUAUCAAGAUUUGAUAUAUAAAGACUUUUAUGAAACUACAGAUAGUUCAGUGAAGAAGUAUAGAGAAGGCAGAAACAGAACUACACAUAUAUGGUCACCUAGUCUGGUAAAGGUGCCAUUGAAGUCCAGUGGGGGGAAAGGUGAGCCUUUCAAAAAUGGUGUUUAAUAAUUGGCUAUCAAUACAUUUAAAAAAACCCAACUUGAUUCCCUAUGUCAAACUAAGUCAAUGUCAAGUGAAUCAUACACCUAAAUGUGAAAAAAUAAUUAAAAAUUUAGAAGAAUACUAAGAGAUUAUCUUCACGGCCCCGGGAGAGUUAAUAUUUCUUGAGAGAUACAAAAGCAUUAGUCACAUAGGUAAACAUCGACAAACAGAACUACAUUAAAAGUAAAUCUUUUGUUUAUCAAAAGGAAUAAUAGGGCAAAUGGGAGACAAUUAGAGAAGAUAUUUGCAAAACAUAUAUCUAAUUAAAAACUCAUGCAAAGAAUAUACAAGAACUCCUACAAAUGAUUAAUAAGGGCAUCCAAUUAUAUUGUCCAAAGACCUGAACAAUAACUUCAUAAAAGAGGAAAACUGAAUUGCCAUGAGGCUUAUGAAAAACUAAAAACAAAACAAAAAAACCUCAAUGUCAUUGGCAUUAGUCAUUAAGGAAAUUAACCUUAAAAUCACAAUAAAAUACCAAUAAACUUUCAUCAGAAUAUCUAAAAAAAUUUUAAAUGAUAGUACCACAUUAUUUGCAAGAAAGUAGAAUAAGUGGAAUGCUCAUACACUGCUGGAGGGUAUAUACAUUUGUGCAAACACUUUGGAAAACUGUUUAGCACUCUCUUAAGUAUAUACCAGUAAUUCCACUCUUAGUCAUAACCUCAACAGUAAGGCGUAACCAUGGGCACCACUAGACUUAUAAACAAGGUGUCUAGCAACAUUAUUCAUAAAAAUUGAAAAUUGAAAACAACCCAAAUGCACCUCAAUAUUUUAGCAAAGAAAAAAGAUAUAUCUUGAUAUAUUUAUGCAGUGGGAUAAGCAGUCUAUAACAGUAAAAAAUUCAAUUAUGACUAAUGAAAAACAUGGAUGGAUCUCAUAGUCAUAUCAUUGACUGAAUAAUGCAAUUAUAUUUGUCCACUUUUAUAAAGUUCAAAAAUAGGAAAAACCAUGAUGACAGAAGUCAGAACAAUGUGAUUUUGGAGGGAAGUUAAGGAUAGGGUUACAUCAUGAGAGAUUCAGGAUCUAAGUAGACAUCAGUUGGGUGCGUCGAUUUUGUGAAAUUUACUACUCUGAUGCUUAAACUCUGUACGCUUAAUUGUAUAUUUUUUAAUACUAAAUUUUAAGAAAAAUUUAAAUAUUGUUUGAAGUAAAAAAUAAUAGAACAACUUGAGAGAGAGAAGAAAAACAAACAAAAAUCUUGGCUUCUCUUUUUCUCAGUCCUUCCCAUCACUGGCCUCAAGUGCUCCUCUGGUUUCCUAUGGCUCUGUCAAUAGAAGAGUACCCUGAUUUGGGUUAAAUCCUUUUGCUGUACUAAUAAGAACACUGAAACCCAGAAAUAUUAAAUGCAGGAGUCAUUCCCUCACAGUAUGCCAAGGACCCCAGUUUUAAAUUUUUCCUCCCAAUCUAUACCCAGGAGAUAAACAUUCCCUGUUAACUAUCCUUACUUUCACACUUAAAGAGGACAUUUUAAUUUUUUCAUAAACUUUCUUAACCUCAUCAGUUUCUCCUAGGAGAUUCUUGACUUGCUGAUUAAUUAGCACUUACCGAAAAGAGGCUUCAUGGGACCCCUCUGCUUUCUCCCCUUUGGAUUAACAAUAAAUUGACAAAAACUGUUUAAAAGAAUCAUGCCUUUUGUGACAGAAGAAUUGUCUUUUAAGAUACAUUCAGAAAUAAUACAACAGAAUAUGGAACAUUAUUUUCCAACUUGGGUGCAAAAUAUAUAGUGAUUUAAGCACUUUGAGUUGAACAUUUUGGGGAGCCCUUGGUUUAGAUACAACAAUUUUUAUCUUCUGCUCCUUUUUUUUUUUUUACCUUUUGUCUAUUUUUCCCACUAGAUUUGGGGAAAAAAUAAAAAAGAAUGUCACAAUGUCAGUAUCACCUUGAAUUCCCCAGGAUGGCAGCUUAAAAGCACUUUCAUAACCUUACGUUAGACGUUCAGAAUAUCAUUGGUGAUGUAUUUUCAGAGGCCAUGUGAGUUUUUAUUUCAGAUAUGGAACUAUGGAUUUUGACUAAAGGAUAGAGAAUGAAAUUUGUUAAAAACUUCCUGAUUAACCCCAUGUGAGUUCUCUGUCUUCAGUGGAAAAUCCCUUCCCUAACUUGCCAAACUGUCAGAUGGCAACCUUAUUUAGAGCCCUCUCUGUUGAAUGGUGAUCAGUUGAAAUAGGACAAUUUUAUGAUCUUUAGUAUGGAAGAUGUUUGGGAUUUGUGUGGCUUUGGAAGAGUGACUGGAGACAAUGACAUAAUGCUCAUUUUUAGUAGAAAUCCCCAGGGAUACUGCUGUGCAUGUAAGCAUGUCUAUGUGAUAUGUAGCCAGAGGAAUAGGAAAAAUAACUAUCUGAUCUUUUAUUGAUUUCUCAACUGUGAGUUCCAAUGUAACUACGUUUCUGAUAGGUAUAGAAACAUUGGAGAUGAUUACGUUUUCCCAGUCAUCUCCUGAAAAUUAUGAAUUACACCUCCUGCAAAAUGUGGAAUGUUAGCAUGUUUCGUUACUGUGUGUGCAAAUGGAUAAAAUUUACUAUAGUAAUAUGAUUGUUUCCUAAGAUACUGAUUCUCCCCAAAUUCCUCUCUCCACUGCACUCACUAGUGCCCCCUGGUGGGGAAGGACAAACCUGUAAAAUGUCAAUAGUUUGCCUUUGCUGCUCUUACUGUUUGAUUGCCCUUUGUGACCAGGCAUUGUUUUCCUCUCGCUCAUUAUCCCAUGCCCAAGCAGAUGCCUCCUCUGUACCAGUCCUCAAACUUUUAAGAUAAUAUUUGACAGUGAGGUAUUAUUUAUAAGGACCGAAGGCAGUAUUUCUAAAAGGUUAUUGUACAUAAGCAUCACUAAAGAGCACUGUUAAGGUACAGAUUCCUGGGUCCCAACUCAGAGACUUUGCUUGAAUAGGUAAAUAGUAUUUCUUAGGAACCUCCAAUUUUAUCAAACUGUAAUCUCUGGAAACAUUUACAUAUGCAGGGAUCCCUUAGGUCAGGUUUUCAAGAUCUGAUAGCUAUAUGGUCUAUAUAAGGUCUCCUUCUUCAAACUCUGUAAGCAAUUGCCUCUCUGCUUCCCCCAAAGGCAAGCCAGUCCUCUCCUCAUUAUCUUUCUCACUGAGCCAUAAAAGUUAGGAGAUGCUUUUAUAGUCAUCUACUCACAGGUAUUCUAAGAGUCAUUUAGUCAUUCAACAAUAUUGAGUCCCUACUGUGUGCAGGCUCCUCUAGUUAUCUGGGUUACAUCAGUAAAUAGAACAUUACAAUUUCUGUCCCCAUGGAUAUUUCUUUCAAGAAGGAGAGAGAGACAAUGAGCAAAGCAUACUAAAUAAGUAAACUUUAUAUUAUGUUAUGUAAGUGCUGUGGAAAAAAGGAAAUGGAGAGUAAGGUAAGGAGGCUGAAGAAUGUGUGUAUGGUGGGACACGAUGAAAUUGUAAAUGGCAUGGUAAGACUAAGCCUCACUGAGAAAGUGACAUUUAAACAAAGCUUUGAAAAAGGCAGGGGAGGGAGGUAUGUGGGUAUAUGGGAAAGAGUAUUCCAGGGAGAGGGAGCAGUGGGGCAGACGCCUUAAGGAAAGAUUGUGCCUAUAGAAAAGGAAUGCUAGGAUGGUUGGUGUGUCUGGUGUGGACUAAGCAAGGAGGGCAGUAGUUUGUAAGGACUUAAGUAGAGAAACAGGAAGCAGAUCCCAUAAGGUCUUUGGAUCUAUUGUAAGAACUUGACAUUUACUCUUAAUGAUACUGAGGCCCAUUAAAAUGCUUUAAGCAGAGGAGUGACACUUUCUGUCUUAAAUUUUAAAAAGAUCACUCUGGCUGUUGUGUCAAGAGGAAACACUGGAAGGGCAAAGUUGGAAGCAGGCAGAUCAUUUAUGCAGCUAUUUGCAGGCAAGAGAUGAUUGCAGUGGAGAUGCUGAGAAAUUGUUGGAUUAUAUUUUUGCAUUUUGAGUAUAGAAUCCACAGUAUUUCAUGAAAAAAUGAAUGUGGCGUGUGAGAGAAAGAAAAGAGAAAAAUAUGACUCCAUGUUUCUGCGUUUCACACCUGGAAGGAUAAAGCAGCAAAUUCAAUGCAUUUGAUGGGAAUAAAUAAAGAAUUCAGUCCUGGAGUUACUGAGGUUUGCGAUAUCUGUUAAUUUCAGAGUGGUGGCUUUAGGGAUGCAGUGGAUGUAAGUACCUACAUUUCAGAAGAGAGUUCUGAACUAAAAAUACAAAUAUGGGACUUAUCACUAUUUAGAGAGCAUUUAGAGGUAUAAAAGUGGAUGUGAGUGCAAAGAUAGUGAGUUUACACAGAGGAGAAGAAAGGAUUAAGACUGAAUCCUGAGGUGCUGUUGGAGAAGGUCAUCGAGAGGAUGUGACCAGUGGUUGACCCGAGAGCUAGACCCGGGAAAUGAGAGGCUCCUCACCCACCCACCCCCACCCCCGUCCUUGGGAUGCACAUUCUGCCCACGGUCCCCACAGUGGGAGCCCUUUUCAAAGACGGAGUUUUGAGAGAGCACUGUGUUGCUGAGACCAUCUGGAUGGUGUGUGUGACUAAACCCAGGCAAGGCCUCUACAUAAACUUUCAGGAUUCUGGUGGACAGGUGUCGGGAUCUACUCGUCGUGAUGGCCCAAGACAAACUUCAUAUGUAACCUUCCCUGCUUAUUUUUCAAGUUUUAAGACUGUGCACAUAAAUUGGAUGCAUUCCAGGGAACAGAGCAUUAAGUGAAUCAGAAUUACAUGGGGUUGUUGUUCAAUUCUCAUUUUUUAGAUGUAUUUCCAGUACUGAAAAUUAGAAGUCCCUCAUCUUUAAUUCUGUGGAUUUUUGACGUACUUGGGCUGUAGUUUCUUCCAACUAACAUUCAAUGAAUAGUCGACCUGUCCUAAGAGAUCUCAGUGAUGUUCAUCCUAACCUUCACAGCAUCAAACAACCUUCAACAAUCUCAAUGCACCUGCUGAUUUUUGUCCUCUAUUUCCUAGGACAGUCUAUUGAAUGCACCUUGAGAAUCUCUAAAUAUUGUUGCGUGUGUUUUUAACAUUAAACAUAUUAGUCUUAGUAUCAUUUUUGGCAUUUCUUCUUUAGCAUUAUUAUUCAUAAAUUAUGAAUCAACCAUUAUGGAUCAAUAAUACUAGUAGAAUACCAAAUAAAUGUAAGAAAGAGAGGACCCUGUAUUGAAUGAACACUAUACAUUGCUGACCAUACUUAUCUUGGAUAAGUAGAGUAGCCAAAAUUUUGGCUGAAAAUAUUGACCCUAUGGUGCUCUGGUAAUGCUCAUCAAUAGAGAGUGGAGAACACCACCUGCUUUACACAUUCUUAUUGGCUGAAAGCUCAUGAUAGCCCCCUUUUACCACCAUAAAAUAUACUUAACAAUAUGCAGUAAUACAGUAAUGGAUUUUUUCCCUUAUGUGUGUUUGGGUCUAUCAGAAAAAUAUAAAUGCCAAGUGGUUAGCAUUAAUAAAUGAGGUAUGCAUAUCAUGGUUUAUUACUAUACCUAGUUAUCAAAGACAAGGAAAUUUACAAAAGGAGAAAAUAAAAGUUGGCCGAGCGCCUACUCUAUGCCAAAUACUGUGUAAUACAGAUUAUGUCUUUUGUGUCACUUGAUCUUUGCAAAAUUCCUGAGUGAUGGAUAUGCCUGUCUCUACUUCACAGGUAAGAAAAAUAACUAAGAAAUAUUAUGUAAUUUGCUGAAAGUGUGUUAGAGACUCAUCUGAAAUUUAAACCUAGGUCCUUCUGAAUCCAGAUCCCCUGCUUUUUCCAUGACAGCAUGUUUUGUGGGAAGACUAUGUAGUUAUCUUGAGUCCUAUGAAUUUCUACAUAUUUUCCUUUGGCUUUGCAAGAAAAAGGCAUUGACGGAGGAGGAAUAGGAGUGGGUUGAGGAGGACAAAGGAAUGAGGAGAAGAAGAAAGAUUGAGAGGAAGAGAGAGAGGAAGAAGGAACAAACCCACUCAAGCUGUCAGCCAACAUCAGGAAGGACUAGUGAAAAGACCUAGAGGCAAGGGCUUAAAAUAGCCUCUGGGAACCAAGAUAGAAGCACAAACAUUAGCCAGUGGCUGAGUCUACUGCCAUGAGGAUUAAGAACAAAAGGAUAUGGAAUUGUUUUCCACACGUUUGGUGAGGGGAAGAAAAAGAACAAAUGAAUAUGCAAAACAAGUGUGAAUAAAUGAACAAGAUACAUAAAAGUUAUAGUCCUUUGAAGUGCUGCUCACCAAGGAGAUUAUAAGGUGGGAAGAAAGAGAGGAUGAAUGAACGCAUGAGCAAUCUUCAUCAUAAGGAGAAACAGCUCCGAGCACACUUCAUGCUGAAAGCAGAUGGGGGAAGGUAGACAGAAGCUGUACAUGUGUUCAAAUUUUCAGUAUCAUUGGUUUUAUGUUUUGAAAGAUCACAGAAGUACUCUGUGCCCAAGUAUGGACAUCUGUAGAAUUACAUAGGGACUGAGUAAGAGGAUAAUUAGACUAUAUGUAAAUACCCAGUGUAUAGUAUUUAAAAGUUGAUUGGGGGGAAAAUGUCUCAUCUUUGUAUAUAAAAAAUAAUGAUGUAUUUUUGUCUGUCAGAAUCUACAUGAUGAUUGAGAUGUGCAGAUGGAUAGACUGUAGGAAGAAAAAAAGGGCAGCUCUAAAAUAUAGAGAAUGAACAGACUUACUGCUGAAAAACAAGUGAAUGAUGAAAAUUGAGAAAAUUUGUAGUAAUGAUUAGACCAUAUGGAGUAAAGUAUCUACUUUUAUUAGAGAAAAUUUUCUUCUGAUAUAAGGACAAUUGCUCUUAUCUGAGAAGAAAACAUGUACACCAGCUGAACUUGGAAAUUUCCUUUUUGUCUUAUAAUGUAAUAGCAUCAACGUAUCAUGUUUUUCUUAAAACUGUGUAUUUGUAUUAAUAUGUUGCAAUUUGAAAAUAACCUUCACAUGUAAUUUUUUUCAUAUAAUCUCUGUGAUUUAUGUAAGGCAAAUAUUAUCCUUAUCUUGUAAAUAAAAACACCCAACAUUAGUAGUCUGAGUGAUUUGUACUAUAUUGUGAAGCGUGAAAGUGGUAGAAAAUAAAUA